rnacentral:rRNA from 1 species
GAUUUCUGGCUUGAUACAUUUUGCCGGCCACGGUUUCGUGUGUUAGUGCUUUAUGUUCUGGCCAUCCUUCCAAUCGCUGCUCACUUUUCUUCAUUGAUUGGUGAGUGGUAUUGGAUCUUUUACUUUGAAAAAAUUAGAGUGUUUCAAGCAGGCUUUAUGCUAUGAAUACAUUAGCAUGGAAUAAUAAUUUAGGACUUUGGCCCUAUUUUGUUGGUUUCUAGGACUGAAGUAAUGAUUGAUAGGGAUAGUUGGGGGUGCUCGAAUUCAGCGGCCAGAGGUGAAAUUCUUGGAUUCGCUGAAGACGAACUCAUGCGAAAGCAUU